CCCCUGGAGUGUCACCAGCUCCGCACCGAGGGCUCCUUGUGGCACCCAGAGGAAAUUUGGGGGGCUCCGAGUGGCAGCGGGACCGGCGCAGCCCUCGCGAGGGUCCCGAGUGCCACCACGUCCUCGUGUCACCAAGAGGAACGGGGUGGGGGGCUUCGAGCAAGAGCCCCUCGGGUGCCACCAGCUCCUCGAGUGAGUGCCACCAGCUCCUGGAGUGCCACCAGCUCCUUGAGCGAGUGCCACCAUCUUGGGUGCCACCAUCUCCUUGAGUGAGUGCCACCAUCUCCUCGGGUGCCACCAUCUCCUUGAGCGAGUGCCACCAUCUCGGGUGCCACCAGCUCCUCGAGUGAGUGCCACCAUCUCCUUGAGUGCCACCAUCUCCUGGAGUGCCACCAUCUCCUGGAGUGCCACCAUCUCCUGGAGUGCCACCAUCUCCUCGAGUGCCACCAUCUCCUGGAGUGCCACCAUCUCCUCGGGGGCCACCAUCUCCUGGAGUGCCACCAGCUCCUGGAGUGCCACCAAGAGCCCCCCGAGUGUCACCAGGACCGGCUCAGCCCCCCUGUGCGGGUCCCUGGUGUCACCGGGGUCUCUCUCUGUGUCACACGCCGCCCUCGGGCGUCCACCGGGACCCCCCCCGAGCACCGGGACCCCCAAAUUCCACCGUCCUCGUGCACCGGGACCCCCCCUCAGGCAUCAGGACCCCCGAGUUUCCUCGCCCCCCUCCUCGGGCACC
rnacentral:lncRNA from 1 species